UAGUGAUGAUACUGAGAUGAAAGCCCCUCACAAGAAACGACGGGACUAUAUUCCAGCUCUUCGCCUGCCAAGUACCUCAGCCCAGGCUCCUCCCAUUCCCCCGCCACCAAAUAUCACUCCUCAGGUGACACCUCCAGUAGCAGCAAAAGCUCAGCCUACUUACAGGCUGUCUCUCCCCGAGAUGAACACCACCACUUUGGACGGUCAACAUCUUUUCCACCCAACUAGCAGAGUGGCCAGGACUGGAACUGGACAAAUUCCCUGCACAGCUGCCCAGUUGCAUAUGCUCACUCUUCUGGAGCAGGUCAAGCACCAACAAAACCAAAUCAUUUUAAUGCUGAAUAACCUGAACUCAAAGGUCUUCGAAAACCAAGAGUGUCAGGAGUCUCUAGAGAUGCCAGAAGGGUUGUAGUUCCCAUUAAACACCACUGAGGAAGUGGAGCAGAUGGAAUCAUGGCUAGCUGAUUCUGCAAAGACUGGAGCCAAAAAGAGUCUGCUCAAAGUUUUAUCAUCACUAGGAGGGCAAGAUGUGAAGAAGGUGACGUGGAACAUCUUGGGUCACAUGUUCAGCAACAGUGUUGGGAAAAAAAUCAGUUGGAAGGGAGCCAACCAAAAAAUGAAAUUCAGUGUAAUGAAUCUGAAGACACUUUUGAUUAGAGCUGUUCGAGCAUGCAAAGUGAGCAGCAAUGCCACAGAAACCUAAAGGAUAAAUAAGCAUGCAAUCUGAUGGUUCAACCUUGCAUCUGACCAUGGAUGUGGACGCAGGGAGUGUUACAGGUCAGUGUUUAUUAUUUCUACCAAUAAUAAAAAAUACAUGGUGACGAACAGAGUAAUUGGACCCCUGAACACAGGCUUCAUUAAUUAUGGUGUUCAGUGUCCAUAAUCUUGUCUUCUAUAGUCAUGAGAUUUCCCAUUUCUGAACCAAACACACCAUCUAUGACAGCUCUAUUCAAUUCAGGGAUGCAGUGAUCUAGUCUAAAACAACCGGUAUAUGGGGUCCUAGACAGGGACCACCUUGGACACAGGAAUGUGACCACACAUGUAUUAACACUAGGUCAGUUUAGAACAUUUUCUACUACAUGUUCUGUUGAAAGCAACCAGAAACCGAAGCAGACACGGGGAGAACCUGUUAAAUCCGGUUCUGACCUUUAUAAAAUCUAUAAAAUUAUAAACAUCUGCCUUUGGACAUAAUCAGCAAUAGAGUGAGAUUCUAUUCUUUAGUGUUUUUAGUCAAACCAUGAGUCUGAACUUUGCUCAAUUGAAUAAUUAUAGAAUUUCAGAUUCAGUCUCACCAACUUUACUGGUCUGUGUUACGUUUGUGAUAAACUAGUUUAAAUAUUAAGCAUUAUAGAAUGAGUGAAUAUGAUGUAGAAUGCUACAGGGACAAGGGAAAGCAAUGACAGGUGCUAAUACUUCAAUAAACUAAUAAAUUUAGAUGUCAUAAAGCCUAAUGAUUAAUAGUAAUCAUUAGGCUUCUAUCCCUAAA